GAUGAACGCUGACAGAAUGCUUAACACAUGCAAGUCUACUUGAACUUCGGUUUGGGUGGCGGACGGGUGAGUAACGCGUAAAGAACUUGCCUCACAGUUAGGGACAACAUUUGGAAACGAAUGCUAAUACCUGAUAUUAUGAUUUUAGGGCAUCCUAAAAUUAUGAAAGCUAUAUGCGCUGUGAGAGAGCUUUGCGUCCCAUUAGCUAGUUGGAGAGGUAACGGCUCACCAAGGCGAUGAUGGGUAGCCGGCCUGAGAGGGUGAACGGCCACAAGGGGACUGAGACACGGCCCUUACUCCUACGGGAGGCAGCAGUGGGGAAUAUUGGACAAUGGACCAAAAGUCUGAUCCAGCAAUUCUGUGUGCACGAUGACGUUUUUCGGAAUGUAAAGUGCUUUCAGUUGGGAAGAAAAAAGUGACGGUACCAACAGAAGAAGUGACGGCUAAAUACGUG
rnacentral:rRNA from 1 species